AUCCUGGCUCAGGAUGAACGCUAGCGACAGGCUUAACACAUGCAAGUCGAGGGGCAGCAUAAAAGUAGCAAUACUUUGGUGGCGACCGGCGCACGGGUGAGUAACGCGUAUGCAACCUACCUAUCAGAGGGGGAUAACCCGGCGAAAGUCGGACUAAUACCGCAUAAAACAGGGGCACCGCAUGGUGAUAUUUGUUAAAGAUUUAUUGGUAUAAGAUGGGCAUGCGUCUGAUUAGCUAGUUGGCGGUGUAACGGACCACCAAGGCGACGAUCAGUAGGGGUUCUGAGAGGAAGGUCCCCCACACUGGCACUGAGAUACGGGCCAGACUCCUACGGGAGGCAGCAGUAGGGAAUAUUGGGCAAUGGUCGGAAGACUGACCCAGCCAUGCCGCGUGCAGGAAGACGGCCCUCUGGGUUGUAAACUGCUUUUAUCUGGGAAGAAAAAGGCCAUGCGUGGCAAAUUGCCGGUACCAGAUGAAUAAGCACCGGCUAACUCCGUG
rnacentral:rRNA from 1 species